CCUACGGGUGGCUGCAGUGGGGAAUAUUGGACAAUGGGGGGAACCCUGAUCCAGCCAAGCCGCGUGUGUGAAGAAGGCCCUCGGGUUGUAAAGCACUUUCAGUGAGGAAGAACGCCUGGUGGUUAAUACCCAUCAGGAAAGACAUCACUCACAGAAGAAGCACCGGCUAACUCCGUGCCAGCAGCCGCGGUAAUACGGAGGGUGCGAGCGUUAAUCGGAAUUACUGGGCGUAAAGCGAGCGUAGGUGGCUUGAUAAGCCGGUUGUGAAAGCCCCGGGCUCAACCUGGGAACGGCAUCCGGAACUGUCAAGCUAGAGUGCAGGAGAGGAAGGUAGAAUUCCCGGUGUAGCGGUGAAAUGCGUAGAGAUCGGGAGGAAUACCAGUGGCGAAGGCGGCCUUCUGGACUGACACUGACACUGAGGUGCGAAAGCGUGGGUAGCAAACAGGAUUAGAUACCCCAGUAGUC
rnacentral:rRNA from 1 species